rnacentral:rRNA from 1 species
UACGUACGAGGCAAGCGUUAUCCGGAAUUACUGGGCGUAAAGCGCGCGCAGGCGGCCUUCCAAGUCCCGCGUGAAAUCGCCCGGCUCAACCGGGCGGGGUCGCGGGAGACUGGGGGGCUCGAGCGAGGGAGGGGGCAGUGGAAUUCCCGGUGUAGUGGUGGAAUGCGCAGAUAUCGGGAGGAACACCGGUGGCGAAGGCGGUUCUCUGGGCCUUACCUGACGCUGAGGAGCGAAAGCGUGGGGAGCGAACAGG